GAUUAACGCUAGCGGCAGGCCUAAUACAUGCAAGUCGAACGGCAGCACGGGUAGCAAUACCUGGUGGCGAGUGGCGCACGGGUGCGUAACGCGUAUGCAAUCUACCUAUAACUGGGGAAUAGCCUUCCGAAAGGAAGAUUAAAACCGCAUAAUAUCACGAAGCGGCAUCGUUUUGUGAUCAAAUCUCCGGAGGUUAUAGAUGAGCAUGCGUGACAUAGCUAGUUGGUGAGGUAACGGCUCACCAAGGCUACGAUGUCUAGGGGGUCUGAGAGGAUGAUCCCC
rnacentral:rRNA from 1 species